rnacentral:lncRNA from 1 species
CGCAGCUUCUACAAACUAUGGCUUCGAAUGCUAACAUCGGGUUGGGCGGUGCGGAACAAGCGGAUUGGUUAGUGCAGUGUGGUUUAAGUACCACUACAAAAAAAAGUGGUAUUAGUAACACAUUAUGAUAGCAUUGUUUUCUAAACUGCUAUGAAUGAUUAAUUUUUUACUUUUGUUUAUAUUGAUAGCAGUUAAUUAUCGCUGUUGUGGAAAAUUAGUGAACGGAAAGCGAAAAUCAUUGAUACCGCCAAUACUUAGCUAAAAAUUAGAUUUAAGCGUCGGAUGCAUAUAUCCAUGAUAUCAAAAACAUAUAAUAGCAUUUUUCUUAUGCUAAGAUAAACAAUUUUUCAAAAAUUAUAUUUAAAACAUUAAUCUUUAAAUCUAAACUACAUACCAAAUCAUACUUAAUUUUUAUAUCUUACACAAUUUUAAAUUUUUAAACUUCUUUGCUUUAAUAACUUUUACUUUAUAACUAAGUCUUAACAUUUAUAUUUAAUAAUCACUUUUAACAUUUAUAAACCUUAAAUUAAAAUUAAAAUUCCAAACCCUCUAUCUAAACUCCAAACCCUACUCCACAAACCCUAAAAUAUACUUCAAACCCUAUGUACUAUACCACAAAUUAUAAAUCUAAACACUUAAACUAAUAUAUUCAAACUUAAACAUCAAAUCUUACACACAUAAACUACAAAUCUAAUAUUUUCAAAAAUAAUCUCAACUUAAUCUAAUAUCUAAACUUAAUUUUUAAAAACGUAGUCCAAGUCUUAAUCUUAACCUCAAACCCCAAAUUUAAACUUUGAACUCUAUAUCAUAAACAUUAACUUUACAAUAUAGUAAAUAAUCUAAUUAUUAGAUGAAAAUUUACUCUAUAUUAACGGUUUUAAGUUUAUAAAUUUAAUUUUCAAAUAUUUAUCCUAAAUUUAACAAACAAGUUAAUUAACAAAGUGCUGAAAGAUUAAAUAAAAGAAAAUUACCUUUUUGUUACCCCUAUUUGAAACCCUAAACCCUAAACAUAAUCUUUAAAACUCUAAUCUAUUCAAAUCUAAACCUUGCACAUUAUAUUCCUAACAUUAAAAUUUUGACUUUAAAUUACAUAAACUGAAUCUUAACUAAAAUUUUUCAACCUCGAAGAUUAAUUAAUUUAUAUAAUCUUUGAAACUUUAUAUUUACAUUUUUUAAAAAAUAUUAUAAUAUUAAAAUUACAAUAGUUGCCAAGAAAGAAGAGAAACUACAAUAAAAAUAAGCAAAAUUAGUAAUCUCUCAUCUAUUUUUCCAUUGGCUAAUACUGAGAGUGUGUGGAUUGGCAAUAUAGACCAUUGAUUAAUAUUAUUCGAUGGCCCAGAUUCAUCCAAUUUGUGCUUCUUCAUCUCUAUGUCGCUAGGCUCUUUAGUUUUCAUUUUACUUUUUGCAUUCUUCCUCUUCUGUCAAAUAUCACUCUUCCUUGCUUCCUCUUCUAUGGAAUCUCUCUCUCGUAAACCCACCGUCUUCAACGCCAAGCUUCGCCUCCUCAUGAACCCGAGGACAAACCCCAAAGACGAGCCGUUCUGAUUGGGCCGAGAUGACUUAUGGGCUUCUCUACCGCAUCUCAGUUCGUCUUGGCCGGUAUCUGCCUUCACCGAAGUCGCCACCGCCA